rnacentral:tRNA from 1 species
UCCUCGGUAGCUCAGCGGCAGAGCAAGUGACUGUUAAUCACUGGGUCGUAGGUUCGAAUCCUACCCGGGGAG